AAUGAACGUUGGCGGCGUGGAUUAGGCAUGCGAGUCGUACGAGAACCCGCAAGGGGGAAAGUGGCGAACGGGGUAGUAAUGCGUAGGUGACGUGCCCUGCGGUCGGGGAUAGCUUAGGGAAACUUAAGGUAAUACCCGAUGACACCAUGAGGUUUGAAUACCAUAUGGUCAAAGGUGUGAUUCCACCACAGGAGCGGCUUGCGUGGUAUUAGCUAGUUGGUGAGGUAACGGCUCACCAAGGCAACGAUGCCUAGGGGAUGUUAGCGCAUGAUCCCCACCACUGGGACUGAGAUACUGCCCAGGCACCUACGGGUGGCUGCAGUCGAGAAUCUUCGGCAAUGGGGGAAACCCUGACCGAGCGACGCCGCGUGUGGGAUGAAGGCCCUUGGGUUGUAAACCACUGUCAGAGGGGAUGAAGUGCUAGAGAGCUAUCUCUCUAGUUUGACAUAGCCUCAGAGGAAGCACGGGCUAAGUUCGUGCCAGCAGCCGCGGU
rnacentral:rRNA from 1 species